CCCCUCGGAGACCCUUCGAGAAGUCCCGCCUCGACCAAGAGCUGAAGCUGAUCGGAGAGUAUGGGCUCCGAAAUAAGCGUGAGGUCUGGAGGG